GACGAACGCUGGCGGCGUGCCUAAUACAUGCAAGUAGAACGCCGUUGCGAACGGGUGAGUAAAGCGUAGGUAACUGCCUCAUAGCGGGGGACAAAUAUUGGGAACUCUUGCCAAAACCGCAUACUGUGAGAUAGACCUGCGUUGUAUUAGCUAGUUGGUAGGGGAAAGGCUACACAAGGCCACGAUACAGAACCGACCUGUGAAGGUGGUCGGCCACACUGGGACUGGGGAACGGCCCAGACUCCUACGGGAGGCAGCAGUAGGGAAUCUUCGGCAAUGGACGGAAGUCUGACCGAGCAACGCCGCGGGAGUGAAGAAGGUUUUCGGAUCGUAAAGCUCUGUUGUUAGAGAAGCGUUAACUAACCAGAAAGGAACGGCUAACUACGUGCCAGCAGCCGCGGUAAUUC
rnacentral:rRNA from 1 species